rnacentral:rRNA from 1 species
CCUACGGGAGGCAGCAGUGGGGAAUUUUGGACAAUGGGGGCAACCCUGAUCCAGCCAUGCCGCGUGAGUGAAGAAGGCCUUCGGGUUGUAAAGCUCUUUCGGCCGGGAAGAAAUCGGCGACUCUAACAUAGUCGCUGGAUGACGGUACCGGACUAAGAAGCACCGGCUAACUACGUGCCAGCAGCCGCGGUAAUACGUAGGGUGCGAGCGUUAAUCGGAAUUACUGGGCGUAAAGCGUGCGCAGGCGGUUUUGUAAGACAGAUGUGAAAUCCCCGGGCUUAACCUGGGAACUGCGUUUGUGACUGCAAGGCUAGAGUACGGCAGAGGGGGGUGGAAUUCCACGUGUAGCAGUGAAAUGCGUAGAGAUGUGGAGGAACACCGAUGGCGAAGGCAGCCCCCUGGGCCUGUACUGACGCUCAUGCACGAAAGCGUGGGGAGCAAACAGGAUUAGAUACCCUGGUAGUCCACGCCCUAAACGAUGUCGACUAGUCGUUCGGAGCAGCAAUGCACUGAGUGACGCAGCUAACGCGUGAAGUCGACCGCCCGGGGAGUACGGCCGCAAGGUUAAAACUCAAAUGAAUUGACGGGGA